rnacentral:rRNA from 1 species
GACGAACGCUGGCGGCGUGCUUAACACAUGCAAGUCGAACGGAAAGGCCCUGCUUUUGUGGGGUGCUCGAGUGGCGAACGGGUGAGUAACACGUGAGUAACCUGCCCUUGACUUUGGGAUAACUUCAGGAAACUGGGGCUAAUACCGGAUAGGAGCUCCUGCUGCAUGGUGGGGGUUGGAAAGUUUCGGCGGUUGGGGAUGGACUCGCGGCUUAUCAGCUUGUUGGUGGGGUAGUGGCUUACCAAGGCUUUGACGGGUAGCCGGCCUGAGAGGGUGACCGGCCACAUUGGGACAAGGAGACGGCCCAGACUCCUACGGGAGGCAGCAGGGGGAAAUAUUGCACAAGGGGCGGAAGCCUGAUGCAGCAACGCCGCGUGCGGGAUGACGGCCUUCGGGUUGUAAACCGCUUUCGCCUGUGACGAAGCGUGAGUGACGGUAAUGGGGAAAGAAGCACCGGCGAACUACGU